UGACCAAGAACAUAAAUUAUGGAAAGGAAUUCAAUCUAAUGACAAAUUGAGCUUACACAUAUUGUGAAGAUGUCUAUGACUUGGCAGCAUACAAUUAGAACUUCAGAGAUAAAACAGCCCAAAACCACAUAUGCCAUAUGCAUUUUAUUUAAUUUAUUUAAUUUUCUAUUUUAUGAUAGAGUAGCUGUGUUUUGUCAUCUCAGCUGAAGAGUUAAUUGCAGUUCUUCCCUUACUCAAGAGCUGUCACCAAAGAAAGCUGCAAAAGGAUUCAAUAGUAUUCAAAGGGAACAAUAUCAGUGCCUCAGAUGAACUCACUGACUGAACUAGUAUUGUUGCACAUCACACCUGGGUAUUUUGCCACCAACCUCAAUGUGCCUCUUGCUGUGUGAAGUCCUUUCGAGCAGUAACUUCCCUGCCAGCUUGAGCAGUAUUACAGAAUAAAGAGUUCUCAGUGUCACAGCAGAUAUCUGCAAGUGGAGACAUAGAAAGAAAGAAAGCAAAAAUAUGGAUGGGUUAUAAAGAUAGAGUAAUCAUAUUUGAACAGGUACACAACAGAGGUUUUGCAGACAGCUGGUUGGACUCAAUUGCACACCAAGUGUAUUAAACCCUGAUGCUUCCUGAUUUAAUGAGAAUAAAUUAUAAAUGCUAACACA